GACAUAGGUGGCGAACGUUAUCCGGAAUUACUGGGCGUAAAGGGCUCGUAGGCGGCCAACUAAGUCAGACGUGAAAUCCCUCGGCUUAACCGGGGAACUGCGUCUGAUACUGGAUGGCUUGAGUUCGGGAGAGGGAUGUGGAAUUCCAGGUGUAGCGGUGAAAUGCGUAGAUAUCUGGAGGAACACCGGUGGCGAAGGCGGCAUCCUGGACCGACACUGACGCUGAUGAGCGAAAGCCAGGGGAGCAAACGGG
rnacentral:rRNA from 1 species